ACCUGGCGCGGUACGCACCACACCAUCGCUACCUCAUCACGCUCACGCGUCUCCCUUUCUCCGCACUCCUCUUCGCUCUCUCUCGUGAUCUCGUCUGAUCAGCUCCGCCUCCGCCUCAGAAUUCAGAAAUCCCCAAACCCCAAUGCUGCUGCUGCCUCGCAGUCGCACGGCGAAUCGGGGAUAAGCACCGGAGGAGGGAUCGGAGAUGGAGGCGCCGGGGCUCGUCGUCGGAUCGGCGCUGCGAGCCGCGCAACCGCCACCGCCACCUCCUCUCCCGCGCUCCCCGCGUGGCGCUGCGGAUCGCCUCCUCAUCUUCUCGCGGGAGCCUCGACCUCGACUCGCCCCUCUCACCCGGUGCUACUGUUCCAGGGAGGGGAAGGGCAAUGCUCGCAGCAAACCCCAUCGCGAGGGCUCCAAUUCCGUUCGGCUGAACGUGAAAGCAAACAAUGACCAGGAAACAUAUUUGGCUGAUGAACGACACGAAGGGGUUGACAUCUGGGAGCUAUUCAGCCAGGCUCAGAGAAAUAUCCUACACCUUAACAAGCAGCGGCUUGUGGCCAUGGAAGAGCUCAAGAAACUGCAGGAUGAAAAUAAAUCGCUUCUGCAGGACAUAGAAGUACUGGAAACAGAAAGGCAAGGUUUUUCCAUAGAAAUAGCAGAAUCAUCAAGGUUCUCUGAGUUGCUUCUGCGUAUAGAUACAAUGACCAUUUCUGGUAUGGUUGGCAUGACAGAAGCGUCUGAUUUAAGAAAGAAAGUUAUUGACAACCGAUACAUGAUACAUAGCGUCUUUUCUGAUAUUCAUCAUAAACAAGAUACUGAACUACUUUCAGAAUUGAGACUCUUUCUGCGUAAACCAGCAGAGAAACCUCUACACGUUGUGCACAUCUGCAGUGAAAUGGAUCCAAUAACAUCACGUGGAUCAUUAGCAACCUAUGUUACUGGAUUAUCUUCCGCACUUCAAAGAAAGGGUAACUUGGUGGAGGUCAUACUGCCCAAGUAUGCUGGCAUAAAUGAAGAUGUAAUUCAUUUCCUGAGGAAAGCUGAAGCAGACUAUGAAUCUUAUUAUGGUGGUUGUUGGCAUAAAAACAGAAUAUGGACAGGUAUAUCAAGUGGUGUUAGUCUUACACUCAUAGAACCGGUGCAGCUGUCAUAUUUUGAUCGCGAUAUGUUACGUGGCUACCCCGAUGACUUUGAGCGAUUUUCCUAUUUUUCACGUGCAUCAUUGGAUUAUAUUGUAAAAUCCGGAAAGCAGCCAGAUGUUUUGCAUGUACAUAACUGGGAAACUGCUAUAGUGGGGCCUCUAUUCUGGGAUAUAUUUGCUCACCAGGGACUUGGGAACACUCGGAUAUUACUGACAUGUCAAGACUUGACUUCGCAAUGCCUAGAGGUUCCAAAUAUGCUGGAAUUGUGCGGACUUGAUCCUCAUAAACUUCAUCGACCUGAUCGUCUGCAGGAUAAUAGCGAAACAAAUCUUGUUAAUGUUCUAAAGGGAGGUAUUGUAUACUCAAAUAAAGUUUUGUUAAUGUCCUCAACCCUCCCAAGAGAUAUGGCUAUCCAAGGCUUAGGACAUGGGUUGGAAGCAACAUUAACUACACACAAGGAGAAGGUGUUGGUUGCUUCUCAUGGAUUGGAUGGUGAACUUUGGGAUCCAUCCAAAGACAUUUAUCUUCCUCAGAGGUAUUCUCCAAAUGACAUUGAAGGAAAAUCAUUUUGCAGAAAGACACUUAAGCGAUGUGUUGGACUCCACAGUGGUUCUUCCGUUGUUGUUGGGUGUAUCUGCAAUGGUGAUUCGAAUACUGAUGGUCUUAGGGAAGCUGUUCGUGUUGCUCUGCAUGGAGGUGCUCAGGUCAUCUUCAUGGAAAACAAAGGGCCUGUGAUGAACUCAACUGUGCAGGCAUUAAAGGAAGAACUGAAGGGAGACAGAGUAAUGUUUGUUGAGAUAUACGAUGAGGCCCUGGAACAUUUGAUAUUUGCAGGCUCUGAUAUAUUUCUGUGCUCUUCCUUUUAUGACCCAUCGCUACAAAUAGCGAUUAGAGCAAUAAAAUAUGGAUCUGCACCAGUACAGAUAAACUUUCCCAGUAAUGGAUCCAGGCAAACUGAGUGGCAUGACUACCCUAGCACAGCCCUCUCUCAGUACAUCAUCUCAACAUAUGGGGACAUGUCCCUUUCUCAAGCUCUCGAUGGCAUUAAGAACAACCCUUCCCAGUGGGAUUGGCGUAUUAAGGAUGCGAUGUCAAAAGUUUUAUCAUGGGAUGCUGAGUGCUACGACCUACAUUGGGAGGCUUAUUCCGUUAUUAGGAAGCUGUGAAUGAUGCAUUUCUCUGGGGACUGCAUGGUACAUCAUCAGCUAUCUAAAUACAAGGCACAGUUUUUGCCCAUAAACAAUCCUGUUGAUUUCUUGCAACUGAAUGGACAACGGAGAGACAGCAAUAUUCCCUGAGUGUGUUUUGGAGAAAGCAUAGUGAUGAUUAGUACCAACGCACAUUCAAGGAUCAUAGUCAUGGUGGUGUCUGAACUUCUGAUCCACAUUUCUCUGUUCCAUGUCAAGCAAGCUCUGCUUCUCCUCCGGAUUGGCAUCACCUUUAUCCCAGGGGUGUAGCUGGUAUCUCCUCAGCAUCUCCAGCUUCUCAGCGACCUCCUUCAUCAUCGGUCGUUCCUCACCACUCAUGCUCACACAUCGCAUCACGAGGUGUGUAAUCUCUUGGAGCACCUCCUCUGUCAUCUCAUUCCUCACCUGGCUGUCAAUAAGUUCCUCAUGGCGGCCAUCUCUCACAGCCGUCAUGAAGCAAGACACGAGGCUCCUGUCUUCCUCUGAUCCGCCGAAGUAGAGUGCCUUCUUCCUGGUUAGAAGCUCCAGGAGGACAACACCAAAACUGUACA